rnacentral:rRNA from 1 species
CCUACGGGUGGCAGCAGUGGGGAAUAUUGGGCAAUGGGCGCAAGCCUGACCCAGCAACGCCGCGUGAAGGAAGAAGGCCCUCGGGUUUUUAACCUCCUUUAUUCCGGACGUAACAAAUGACGGUACUGAAUGUAUAAGCGUCGGCUAACUACGUGCCAGCAGCCGCGCGAAUCCGGAGGCGGCAAGCGUUAUCCGGAUUUACUGGGUGUAAAGGGCGCGUAGGCGGGAGAGUAAGUCAGACGUGAAAUUCCAGGGCUCAACCCCGGAAUUGCGUGUGAUACUGUUCGUCUUGAGUGAUGGAGAGGCAGGCGGAAUGCCGGGUGUAGCGGUGAAAUGCGUAGAUAUACGGAAGAACACCGAUGGCGAAGGCAGCCUACUAAACAUUAACUGACGCUGAGGCGCGAAAGCGUGGGGAGCAAACAGGAUUAGAUACCCCAGUAGUC